rnacentral:sRNA from 1 species
AUAAUUUUUAAAAUUUAAGAAUUAUUUAUUAUAUAUAAAAGUUUUGCAAAUUGUAUCAUUCUCUAACACAUUUAUAUUUUAUAGUUUAAUUUUAUAUAUAGUAACAUUAUACAUACCACAUAACAUUUUUGGUUUUAUAUAAUCUUUUCUAAAUUAGGAUGAUUUGAUAUGUUUAAUAUUAGUGGUCUUAAAAAAUAAUAAAUUAAAGAUUUAACCCGUAUUCAAACAGUGGAUUAAUUAUAUUUUAUUUUUUUAUUAAUGUUGAUUCAAAAACCCGUCUCUCCAAAUCCGUCUUGCCAAAAAGCCAUUUAUUUUAUUAAUAUUAAUUUUAUUUAUGAUAUGACUCUGAAUUAUAAUCUGAAUAUUUUAGCUAAUAACAUAGGAGUGCACCAUAUUUAUUUAAUAGGAGAAUGUACCAUAUGACCCGAAUGCACUUUUAUCCAAAUCCACUAAAAAAGUCUUGCAAAAAUACUGUAGAGAUAAGAAACGAUAGUCGGUUUUGAUAGGUAUAAGAUUAGCAAAUAUAUUAGGUAGCUUAAAUUAGUUAAAGAAUACAAAUUGAAAAGAUAUAUUACACUUUAUUCGAAUAUAGUAUCAAAACUUAUAUAACACAGAGAUUUGAUAAUUGUUUAAUUGUUGAAUACUUUUUUUGUGCUAAUUUUUAUGUGAUUAAGAUUUAAUUGAUUUCGUAUAUAAAAUAUUAAAUUGUUUUACGAACUUAUUUGUUUAUAAUUUGGUAACAGAUAGAUAUUUGAAUAUUUAGUGUAUUUUGCUUCAGUUUAGGAAAUCUUUGAUGACCCGUCUUUAGAUCCAAUAAACCUUAUAAUUAAGAGAUGAAUAUUGUUGUUAAAUGAUUUUGGUAAUCUUAAUGACGUCAUUAAAGAU